AGCCCUUUUUCUCCUGAAUGAAUAAACAUGAAUAAACAAACUCUGUUCUUAUCAGCUUAAUAUCUGAUACGGGUCCUAUUUGGGCCCAAGAUAUUAAACUUAUUUUUGGAACGGGGCGGAGCGCUUGGAGCUUGCUUCACCUCCGCCACGGGUUAGCCCGGUAUUGCACUCUCUCCGGGAUCGGCCUACUCACC
rnacentral:snRNA from 1 species